rnacentral:rRNA from 1 species
GACGAACCGUGCGAACGUUGUUCGGAAUUACUGGGCGUAAAGGGCGCGUAGGCGGCCUGCUAAGUCGAACGUGAAAUCCCUGGGCUCAACCCAGGAACUGCGUCCGAUACUGGUUGGCUUGAAUCCGGGAGAGGGAUGUGGAAUUCCAGGUGUAGCGGUGAAAUGCGUAGAUAUCUGGAGGAACACCGGUGGCGAAGGCGACAUCCUGGACCGGUAUUGACGCUGAGGCGCGAAAGCCAGGGGAGCAAACGGG